CAGGUUCAUCAGCAGAUUGGAAUCUUUAGAUCUACCUCAGAGAUCUCUGGAAAUUGAGCUAACGGUGUAACUGAAGAUACAAUUUCAUGAACUCUCUCUUUCAGAUAAAAAUACUGUAUGAAACAAAGGAGAGGUAGACCUAGUCAGAACUCCAUCAGAAAUCUUUGAGAGUGGAAACCGUGAAACUACUGUAAGAAGCAGUACUGCUGUCGUUCAGAUUAGAAGCAAAACCAAGCUCUGUCCCAGUUAUUUUUCAAUAUUGGAUGCUGCUGCUCUGUUGCUUCCAGGAGAACCAGAAAUGAAGUCAGAGAAGCAUGCUGCUUACCAAGGACAAAGAAAAACAAAAAACUGAGUGAACUUCUCCACAGG